CCUACGGGGGGCAGCAGUGGGGAAUAUUGCGCAAUGGGGGAAACCCUGACGCAGCAACGCCGCGUGCGGGAUGAAGGCUUUCGGGUUGUAAACCGCUUUCAGCAGGGAAGAUAAUGACGGUACCUGCAGAAGAAGCCCCGGCUAACUCCGUGCCAGCAGCCGCGGUAAUACGGAGGGUGCAAGCGUUACUCGGAAUCACUGGGCGUAAAGAGCGCGUAGGCGGGAUAGCAAGUCAGAUGUGAAAUCCUAUGGCUUAACCAUAGAACUGCAUUUGAAACUGUUAUUCUAGAGUAUGGGAGAGGUAG
rnacentral:rRNA from 1 species